rnacentral:siRNA from 1 species
UUAUGUGCAUGAUGCAUUGGUGAG